rnacentral:tRNA from 1 species
GGAGGAUUUCCCGAGUUGGCCAAAGGGGGCAGACUGUAAAUCUGUUAGCUUCGCUUUCGGUGGUUCGAAUCCACCAUCCUCCACCA